rnacentral:rRNA from 1 species
AUUGAACGCUGGCGGCAGGCCUAACACAUGCAAGUCGAGCGGAUGAAGGGAGCUUGCUCCUGGAUUCAGCGGCGGACGGGUGAGUAAUGCCUAGGAAUCUGCCUGGUAGUGGGGGAUAACGUCCGGAAACGGGCGCUAAUACCGCAUACGUCCUGAGGGAGAAAGUGGGGGAUCUUCGGACCUCACGCUAUCAGAUGAGCCUAGGUCGGAUUAGCUAGUUGGUGGGGUAAAGGCCUACCAAGGCGACGAUCCGUAACUGGUCUGAGAGGAUGAUCAGUCACACUGGAACUGAGACCAGGUCCAGACUCCUACGGGAGGCAGCAGUGGGGAAUAUUGGACAAUGGGCGAAAGCCUGAUCCAGCCAUGCCGCGUGUGUGAAGAAGGUCUUCGGAUUGUAAAGCACUUUAAGUUGGGAGGAAGGGCAGUAAGUUAAUACCUUGGUGUUUUGACGUUACCAACAGAAUAAGCACCGGCUAACUUCGUG